AAUUCUCAACCUUUCCAGCUUUUACUAGCUUGGUCAGGCUUGGAUGUGGGGGUUGCAGGCUUCUCAGAAGUCAGCUCUCCUUAAAUGCAUUAGCGAAACCUUUGUUGACCAUCUCUGGUGUGAUAAUUAUCUACGCCGUUGUGAGGUCUUCAGUUUGUGAGGUUCUGCUUCUAACUGUCCUUUCGAGGACAAUUCUUGACA
rnacentral:misc_RNA from 1 species